CACACACCAGGCUGCAGACCCUCGGGACUGUCACGCCAUCAGGGUCUUGGGAAGCAGCAAAGUCCUGGGUCACAGUGUGGACCCAAGGCUUCCCCUGGUUCUCCCCUGAGUAGGCUGCUGCUGCCUGUGCUCCCUGCCUGCACACCCUGCCUGUGUUCCCCUGCUUGUGCUCCCUGUCUGGGCUUCCUUCCUGCUCUCCCGGCCUGUGCUGUUGCUGCCUGCAGCUCAGUGAUUUGCUGGGUUCAGCUGUGCCCACUGCUCACCCUGCAGCAGUCAGGCACUGUCCUGUGUGCCUGAGCUCCAGCAGAGCCUGCUGCCAGUUGCUGCCUGCUGAUCCAGGCGGGAUCCCUGGCCUCUGGUGGAGCCCAUUGCCAGCCUGUACCUGGUGAUCCACCUGGGAUCCCUGGCCUCACCCUGCAGCUGCAUGUACUGGAACAUGGUAUGGCCUAACCCCACUUUUCCCAGUAGUAACUCCUUGCCCUGCUUCUAGGAGUCAGCCUGUCCCAAAACACCCCUGUCUCCUUUGUUCCUGGGCUUGCUGCUGUUCUUUUGCCUGCUGGCAUUUAACCCUGCCCAAGAUCUCAUCCCGGGAGUGUUCAAAAAUCCAGAUCUUGUCCCUGUUUCAGCAAGUCCCACCUCUGAAUUAACAGAGCAAAAGAUAAUGCAGAAGUUCCCCUUCUGAGCAGCCACUGCAUUUCUGUUUGACUGGGAAUUUCAAUGCAUCCAUUGUACUUUUUUUUUUUUUUUUGUUUAUCAACACGUGGUGGGUAAGACGCCCAAGUGGAGCUGGGACCAGGAUGAGGGCAGACCUCCACAGCCACUGGUCAGCAAACAGCACCACAGCUGGGACCCUCUGCCAUGUCUGCUUUUGCUCUGCAGGGAUCCAGACAGGAAAGUUUGGACAAGGAUACAGACCAAGCUGAAAGGCCUCGCCAUGGAGCAGCUCCUGACAAGGUCUGUGGAAACCAGGAUAUCCCGGAGGAGCUCUGUCAGUUCUCACAUGACCUGCUGAAGGUCAGGCAGAGCCAGCAGUGAAGAGCCCCAACUCUUUCCUUCCCUGGCUGCGCGUGGGCUCACAGGCACGAGUGGAGUCCACAUCUGCUCUGGUCCCUCUGAGCAGAGGCUUUUGUUCUCAGGGUUUGGAGGAUUCCAUCACACAUGAAGGGAGCAGCAGCACUG
rnacentral:lncRNA from 1 species